GACAGAGGUGCCAAGCGUUAGGCGGAAUCACUGGGCUUAAAGCGUGUGUAGGCGGAAUUGUAAGUACCUUGUGAAAUCCCACGGCUCAACCGUGGAACUGCUUGGUAUACUGCUUUUCUUGAGCCACUUAGGGGCUACCGGAACAAAUGGUGGAGCGGUGAAAUGCGUAGAUAUCAUUUGGAACGCCAAUGGUGAUAACAGGUAGCUGGGAGUGUGCUGACGCUGAGACACGAAAGCCAGGGGAGCGAACGGG
rnacentral:rRNA from 1 species